GACGAACGCUGGCGGCGUGCUUAACACAUGCAAGUCGAACGGAAAGGCCCUGCUUUUGUGGGGUGCUCGAGUGGCGAACGGGUGAGUAACACGUGAGUAACCUGCCCUUGACUUUGGGAUAACUUCAGGAAACUGGGGCUAAUACCGGAUAGGAGCUCCUGCUGCAUGGUGGGGGUUGGAAAGUUUCGGCGGUUGGGGAUGGACUCGCGGCUUAUCAGCUUGUUGGUGGGGUAGUGGCUUACCAAGGCUUUGACGGGUAGCCGGCCUGAGAGGGUGACCGGCCACAUGGGGACUGAGAUACGGCCCAGACUCCUACGGGAGGCAGCAGUGGGGAAUAUUGCACAAUGGGCGGAAGCCUGAUGCAGCAACGCCGCGUGCGGGAUGAAGGCCUUCGGGUUGUAAACCGCUUUCGCCUGUGACGAAGCGUGAGUGACGGUAAUGGGGAAAGAAGCACCGGCUAACUACGU
rnacentral:rRNA from 1 species